CUAAAUUGUAUUUCAUGGACCGGACGCUCAACCAAGAGGAAUCGGGGCAGCAAAGGGUCCACACGGUCAGCCCACAGGAUGUCACUGUCUCUGCAAAUGGCUGUUGCAAUGCUCUCUGGACCCCACAUUUUAGAAUACAGACUGAGCUCUGCUGCCUGAUCCAUGAAGCAUCCUACAAAUUCAAGAUGUUGUGACAACCAGAGGCUACAAGUG
rnacentral:lncRNA from 1 species